GAGAGAGAGAGAGAGAGAGAGAGAGAGGUAGUUGGGAGGUCUCAAACACAAUUGAUAAGAAGAAAUUUUUGAAGUGGAAAUGGUAGAUGCGGCAGGAGAAGAAAGGAGUGUAGUUUGUGUCUAUUCCUAUAUGCACCGGCCUUUAUUUUUUACCAGCUGCUCCGCAGAGGUGUGUCGUUUGGGAAGCGAGCCACACUGGCUUUUCGCUUGCUCCUUUAUAGACUCUCAUAGGCCUACGGCUUCUCGUGGGUGGAUUUUUGGGAGGAUUCUGGAAUUAACCGGCGUUUACAACCACGGUGGUUGCGCCGGGGGCUGUUUGGCUCGGUGCUCUUUUUGACCGUUGAUGCGCUGUCCCCAGAAUCCGACACUUAGCUGGUCCCCGGUUUCUCUGCUGGCUCGUUUGGUCUGACGUGGUUGGGCACAGCAUUUUUUGAUUUUUUUUUUGGUUUCGGUACAAAUUUUU
rnacentral:lncRNA from 1 species